rnacentral:tRNA from 12 species
GGUAGAGCAUCCGCUUUGCAUGCGGAAGGUCGCUGGUUCGAUUCCUGCAAUCUCC